rnacentral:rRNA from 1 species
UACGUAGGGGGCUAGCGUUGUUCGGAAUUACUGGGCGUAAAGCGCAUGUAGGCGGUUGGAUAAGUUGCGUGUGAAAGCUCCUGGCUAAACUAGGAGAGGACAGGCAAGACUGUUCGGCUAGAGGGUGGUAGAGGGGCACAGAAUUCGGGGUGUAGCGGUGAAAUGUGUAGAGAUCCCGAGGAAUACCAGUGGUGAAGACGGUGCCCUGGGCCAUACCUGACGCUGAGAUGCGAAAGCGUGGGGAGCGAACGGG